GAUGAACGCUAGCGGCAGGCUUAAUACAUGCAAGUCGAACGGGAUUCGGUGUAGCAAUACAUUGAUGAGAGUGGCGCACGGGUGCGUAACGCGUAUGCAACCUACCUUUAACAGGUGAAUAGCCCCGAGAAAUCGGGAUUAAUACACCGUAACAUUGCGGGAUGGCAUCAUUCUGCAAUUAAAGAUUUAUCGGUUAAAGAUGGGCAUGCGUGACAUUAGCUAGUUGGUGAGGUAACGGCUCACCAAGGCGACGAUGUCUAGGGGUCCUGAGAGGGUUAUCCCCCACACUGGUACUGAGACACGGACCAGACUCCUACGGGAGGCAGCAGUAAGGAAUAUUGGUCAAUGGGCGCAAGCCUGAACCAGCCAUGCCGCGUGCAGGAAGACGGCCCUAUGGGUUGUAAACUGCUUUUGUCAGGGAAUAAACCUGUCUACGAGUAGGCAGCUGAAGGUACCUGAAGAAUAAGCAUCGGCUAAC
rnacentral:rRNA from 1 species